UCAGUUUCUCCAUAUCCUUGCUAAGGCUGGUUAUUUUCUGGUUUUUAUUUAUGUUUAAAAUAUGUAUUUAUUUACUUAUAGAGACAGAGUCUUGCUCUGUUGCCCAGGCUGGAGUGCAGUACAGUGGCAUGAUCAUAGCUUACUGCAGGAUUGAACUCCUGGGCUCAAGGAUCUUACUAUCUCAGCCUCCCCAGUAGCUGGGACUAUAGGCAUGUGUGACCAUGCCUGGCUAAUUUUUUAAUUUUAUGUAGAGACAGGUUCUGGCUAUGUUGUCCAGGCUGGUCUCCAACUCCUGGCCUCAAAUGACCCACCCGGUUUGGUCUCCCACAGUGCUGAGAUUACAGAUGUGAGCCACUGUGCCCAGUCUAUUUUUAAAUAUAUUCUUAAAUUUUUCAUUGUAACCAUCUUUUUUUUUUUUUUUUUUUUUUUGAGACAGGGCCUCAUUUUGUCCCGCAGGCUGGAAUGCAGUGGCACAAUCUUGGCUCACUACAGCCUCUACCUCCCGAUUCAAGCAACCCUCCUGCCUCAGCACCCCAAAGUAGCUGGGACUACAGGUGCAUGGCACCACGCCUGCCUAAUUUUAAAUGUCUUUUUUGUAGAGGCGGGGUUUAGCUGUGUCGCCCAGGCUGGUCUUGAACUCCUGAGCUCAAGCGAUCCUCCCGCCUUGGCUUCCCAAAGUGCUGGGAUUACAGGCAUGAGCCACCGCGCCCAGCCAGAUAGUAGCCAUCUUAAUGGAGUGAGAUGGCUUACUUUUAAACAUUAUUUCUAAACUGAACCCAGACCCUGGCAUAUUAGAGGUGGUUACACAGUGAACGCAUUUGACGAACAGUCAAGGUAAUUUUGUUUUCCAGGGUUUGCUCCAUGAAUAAACAAUCUCUGAGAGGCUAGUAUCUUGUCCAAGGUCAAGAGCCUGAAUUUGAAUUGUCUGACUGAAAGGCAGCAUGUUCUCUACUAGUCACCUCUCUACCUGGUUCCACCCUAUGCAAGGCAAACAAACGCAGAAGAAAGAAACCCAUUGCCGUGCAAAAUCCAGUGAUUCCAAACCCAACCAGCCCACCAGGGAUGUUCUGGGAGUCCGAGCUGGGGACAGGAGCACAGCCAGCCCUAGCCAGCCCUCCCCCCACCACACUCAGUGCCUGGCGGGGCAGAGCGAGUCACAUUUCAGCCUCACUCACAGGCCAGCUUGAAAUUCGGCCCAGCCGCCACUGCCUCCUGAGAACUCCUCCGGAUGCCUGCAGGCUUAUGCGGGGCUGAGUCACUUCCUCACCUUAAUUCUCCCCUAAUACCUUCCCUUUCUCUGCUGCUUUACUCCUGGCACCACUGUCUGGGUGUGGAAUGUCUGGGGAAGCUGUGCAGGUGGGUUGGCUGAGCUGUCUGCCCAGAUACCACAAACAUGGCUGGGGAGAGAGGAUGCAGGGGUAAAAGUAAAGCCAGAUUUGUCUGCUGGCUCUUAAGCGCAUCCUAAUCCCCUCAGUCAGUUUGAUCUUCGCAAACAUGAGCACAGGUCAAUAUCUCUAAGCUUGGGUCCUGAGGGGCUGGUGGAGGAUGGAGCAGAGGAUGGAUGAAGAGGAACAGGAAGUGAGGGGAGAGUGAUGGCUGCUUUGGCUUUUAGAAACUUCCAUCCCACAUUACUUUCCCUAGGGAAGCUCCCACCUCCCAUCCCUGGGAGAACAGACUGCAUCCUGGAAGGUCAAGUUCCAGGUCAUGUUAAAUAUGAUGGUUUCCUGGAUGAGUCUAAGGACAUAUCAUUAAUAUCUUCAGCCUAUUUCCAGAAGUCCUGCUGUUCCUCUUACCUACAUGUAUGCUGUUCUUCCCUGUGUACAACUUAACUUUCCUUUUCAGGUUUCGGAUGCUUUGUCUGUACAUUGCUUUGUGUGUUUGCCUGCCUCAGCUUGUACUUUCGGAGAUAGAAAUUGGGUCAAAGUUUUAAUUUUUAUUUAAGUUAUUCAUUUAUAUAGUUUAAAAAGUCAAGGGAUGGUGCAAGAUUUAUGAAAAAGAGCCCUCUCCCUUCCCCUUAGCAGAGAUAAUCAUCUUCACCUUUUUUCUUUUUUUUUUUUUUUUGAGACAGAGUGUCGCUCCAUUGCCCAGGCUGGAGUGCAGCGACGUGAUCUCGGCUCACUGCGACCUCCACCUCCCGGAUUCAAGAGAUUCUCCUCCUGCCUCAGCCUCCCGAGUAGCUGGGACUACAGGCGUAUGCCA
rnacentral:lncRNA from 10 species